rnacentral:ncRNA from 2 species
UUCUUAUCUAGAGUGGUGGAGGGACUGGCCCGAUGAAACCCAGCAACAGCUAGUAUUUAACUAGAAAUGUGCUAAAUCCUGCAGGGUAACCUGGAAGAUAAGAG